GGUACCGCAAGCCGAUGAAGGCGAGGAGUACUCACCGGAUCAGGAAGAGCUAAACAACAGUACGGGUCAGUAGAAAUACAGUAGCAAUAAUAGUGAAUGAAAGAGACAUAUAUACGAAAGAAGUACAACUACCGCUACUGUAAUGGACAACUGAAUGUAUACAUGUAACAAGACUAUGUAAUGAAAGAACUGAAGGUAUACAAGCAACAACCGCUACUAUAGUUAUAUGCAUCAACCGGACAAGAAGUCCAAAUAUACCCAAUCUAGUACCUGCUAUAUUGGUCCGCAGACCUCAAGCGCUGCCUGUCACUAACCUGCACCGACCUGAUUCACCCGCCCCACAGGACGACCCAUCCGGAUAAGUACACCUCCGAUCGGUGGCCAAACCGAUCCGGUGUCGUGAAUACCCCCAAGUGCUGUGACUAAGUCAUGAUGGUAUGCUCAAUACAAAAACCGGCUGAAACCGGUGCCUAGGCCGAAGCCAGAAACAAGGACGUACAACGCCGAACCUCGAUCAACCAGAUCGAAACACAUGACGAGAGAGUCAAUGUGUUACCUGGACCCAAGGUCCACAGAGUCCAACCGACCAGCAAGGUCACUGAUACGAAGUACGAGAACUGACCAACCAGGUCAACAGAUACGGAAUGCACAACCAACCAACUAGGUCAACAGAUACUGAAUGCAACAACAGACCAACUAGGUCAACAGAUACUGAAUGCAACAACAGACCAACUAGGUCAACAGAUACAGAAUGCAACAACAGACCAACUAGGUCAACAGAUACAGAAUGCAACAACAGACCAACUAGGUCAACAGAUACAGAAUGCAACAACAGACCAACUAGGUCAACAGAUACAGAAUGCAACAACAGACCAACUAGGUCAACAGAUACAGAAUGCAACAACAGACCAACUAGGUCAACAGAUACAGAAUGCAACAACAGACCAACUAGGUCAACAGAUACAGAAUGCAACAACAGACCAACUAGGUCAACAGAUACAGAAUGCAACAACAGACCAACUAGGUCAACAGAUACAGAAUGCAACAACAGACCAACUAGGUCAACAGAUACAGAAUGCAACAACAGACCAACUAGGUCAACAGAUACAGAAUGCAACAACAGACCAACUAGGUCAACAGAUACAGAAUGCAACAACAGACCAACUAGGUCAACAGAUACAGAAUGCAACAACAGACCAACUAGGUCAACAGAUACGCAUGUAGAUAGAACUACUCUACUCCUACUCAGGAUACUAAGCAUGCAAACAACGAGUAGAGUAUAACGAAUAAACAAGGGUGCAAGGCUCAAUAUACUAUGCGAUAGUAACAACAGAAGAGUAAGGGUAAGAAACCGUCACCAAGCGUGCACCACUGUACCGACGUCGGAUCGAAGUACCCACCUGUACGGAUGUCGCGUCUGUCUCCUGACUGCAAAAGAAUGUCGACAGGACCUAUAGAGGGUCCACCGGGUUAGUAUCUAACCCACAACUAAUAAUCACAGUAUCCACCACCUCACAAACGAUUCCACAAAGAUCGGUUUCCCAAUACCGAUUACCGUAACUCGCCGGAAGUCCCGAAAACCACACCGGGACGCCGUCGGGACCCACCAAGUGUCCCGAACUCACCGACUCAUACCACGAGUCACCCGCUGCCCCAAAACAUUCCAAUUUGGAUGCCUUGGCAGCGAACGCAAGGUCACACAGCAAUACGAUCAUCGCCGGAUAAUCGUACGAAUCCGGGUUCCCGGAAGUGUCUAUUUCGACACCGGAACCCUCCGUCGCUCACCUAUCCUCAUCGAACCCACAAAAUGACGAUGGUGACCAGCCAACAAGGCUCAGCGACAAAACACGAAGCAACCAAACACCGUCGGAAAGGAUCCGAACCGAAACCGCGUUCUUUCGGCGAAUUUCGCCGAAAAACGCACCAAAAUCGACUCUUCGAUUUCCGCGAAAACUACAGGAUCAUGGACAAUCAGUCCAGAGGUCAAACACACUCACACACGUUGCCCACAGUAGCCACACAAUGCACAAUUGCAUAAAAGCUCCUCAACUUACAUAAAAUACCAUUAUUUUAUGUAAAUUGAGCGAUCAAGCGGCUCGAUCACGCAAACCGAGAACUCCCAAGGUCCACAGAGACACCCACUGACAGGUCUCGAUGUACCGGAGGCCGUGCUCAUGAUUCGGAGCACAGCGGCUCGCUGUGGGAGGCGCGGGAGCAACCCGAAGGUUCAGCGAUUAGCGCGCAGUCAGGGAAGAUCGCGCCGAACAGAACUAACCGGACACUGUUGAUCCAAAGUGAGGUGAGCACUGUGAUCAGCACUGACCAACGAUCACCGUGCUCACCUCCGGAGGCAUCAGGACAGCCUCGGAUCGCCGGAUAAGCGUGCGCAAUCCCAAAACAGCAGCCAAACAGGCUGAAACGGAGCGACAACGCCAAAACAGUGGAACGGAGUCUCCCCGACAGAAACUAAGGUGAGCACGAUGAUCAGCAACUUGCCAGGAUCAUCGUGCUCCCUUCCGUACAGAUCGGGGAGGCUCGGGAAGCCCAGAACGAGAAACCCACUCAAUAAGCUCCAUUUCGGGCUUGGCCGGAGCAACCUUGCUCCGGCCGGCCUCCGGCGGCACGACGGCGUGCGCGGGGCCCUGAGUCGGGUGAGGGGGAGGUGAGGAACACCGUGCUCACCUCAGGUGGCGGCUGGAAGCGGCGGCGGCGGCGGCGGCGGCGGAGCAAACCGAGCCCGCACGAGAUCGAGCUCGGGUUCCAGGAGUUGCUGCGGCCACGGCGGCGGCCGGGGAGCUCCGGGACGGCGGAGGCGGGCUACAGGAGGUCGGGGGAGUUACCCCGGGGUGGCCCAAGGUGGCGGCGGCGCUGGGAAGGGGUCGCACAUGAGAUCGGCCUGGGCUCGGGCUGGGGUGGCCGCGGCUGGCCGAGGCGACGACGGCGGCGCGCCGGGGCGGCGGCGACCGGCGGGAAGGGGUGCCGGGGCACGGGGGACGUCGACGAGAGGGUUCCCAGGCGGCGGCGGCGCACUGGCGGCUGUGGCAACCCGGCUCGGCCUGAGCUCGGCCUGGGCUGGCAGAUGCGGCCCGGGGUGGCAGCGGCGGCGCAGGCGACGGCGGCAGUCGGCGGGGAAGGUCGCCGGAGCACGGGGUGACCCCGGGGGAGGGUCUGAAGGUGGCGCAGCCCCAAGCCUCCACACAACCCGAGAGGAGAGAGGGAGAGAGAAAGAGAGGGAGAGGGAGGAAAGUGGUGGCUGCGGCGGCGGGUGGCCGGCCGGGACUCGGUCGGCGGCGGCCUGGGCACGCGCAGCAGAUGCAGGGGAAGGAGAUGAAGGUGGCAGGGGGGCUAGGGUUAGGGUUUCUAGUAGCAAACCCUAAGAGACAACUAUAUAUACAAGGUACAACUUGCAAGAAAGCCCCUCAAACGUCAAAAUUUCUAUCCGAGUCUCUCACAGUACGACAAAAACGCAUGAACGACCCUCCACGUGCGAUCUCACGCAAAACGGUACAUAAAAUAUGGCGACUUUCGCGAAAAUACCAUUUUGCCACUACCGUCCUCUCCUCGAUCAACGCGCGAUCUCCGCAGAUCCGUCCGUCAGAUUUGCGAACGGAUUGCACCGAUGCGAUCAGCACCUCGGAGACAACAAAGCUGCGAUUUCGUUUCGUCUUGAUCGACCACGGAUUCACGACAAAAUCCAACCUUCUUCGAAUAGAAGGAAACACACACAAAAAUACAUAUAAAACAUGUAUUUUUGGAUUUUCUCGAAAUCCGUGCGUCAAAACCAAAAUCCGUCAGCACCAUUAGCUCCAGAACAGCUGACCCGGUCGAAACGAGCUAUUGGACUGCUAUGAACAGAGUCCGGUACGAGCCAGAAGCCAACUUCUCACCGUGGCUUCUCCGGAAAAUCGAGUUACUAUUCACUUUAAGUGAAAACUAAUAAUCGCGUAGAAUUUCCGUUUUAACUCGUUUUCGCCCGAAACUUGACGAGUGCUUUUGUAAUUAAAUUACACACAAAAACAUCGUCAACUGAGAGUUUAGCUACACUGUAAAAAUCUCAGUCCUUACAAAUCCGGAGCGUGACAGUUUGGCUCAUGGAUGUAUGAAAUUGGGUCUUUACAAUUUAUGUAGUUAAAAUUAACUAUUAUUACUUUUAAAAUUUAUUUAUAUGGAUGUUAUAUAUUUCUUACUAUUUUUCCUUCAGUUUCUUUACAUACUAUACUAAUUUUAUAAUGGCAUGGCAAUUUUUAUCUCUAUAGGUAAAUACAAUAAUAGUUACUGUUUAAGAAAAAUCUGAUCUGAGUUAGAAAACAAAAUAGAACGAAUAAAUCUUUUUAUAUGAUUAGUUAAAUAUGAACUUGAAUCUCUUCAGUCUAUUUUUUAUUUUUUGUUAUAUACCUUCUUCACAAUAUUUUAAAUAUCUCUUCAGGAUAUCUAUAUAAUUAUUUUCUUACUCUUAUACUUCGUACUUUUUUUUCGUUUCUUAUAUUGUUUUCAAUUAAUUAGAUUGUAAUUCUAUUCUAAAAAUUUUUCUGUAUUUUUCAUAUUAUUAAAUCAAUUUUCAUAUUUUUAUUUAUUUAUUAUAGUUAAAUUCGUAAAUUUUUAUUAAAAUAUUCUUACCCGCCGCAUCGCGCGAGUCUUUAUACUAUAUAUUUUUUUUUCUACCCAUUUUUUUAGGGUACGGAUACAGUAUACCAACUAUCCAGAUUCGACCCGAUCUACGGAUACCUUUAAGAUAUACUUGUCAAUGAGUAAAUAUCACUUCACAACACAUCACAAUAAUAUUUUUUACAUGAAAUUCUAGAUGUAUCUAUUCUCGUUAGAAAUUAUUUCCUGCACUGACACCAUACUUUAUAUUUAUUAAUUAGUAGUUUACAGAUUAAAAUUUAAUUUAGUAAGAAAUUAUUUCCUGCACUGACACCAUACUUUAUAUUUAUUAAUUAGUACUUUACAGAUUAAAAUUUAAUUUAGUAAAUAUUAUCUACAACAUUCAGAUAAUCCUAUUAUCUAGGAAUUAAGUAGACAAGUAAUUUCAAUAAAAGGGUAGGACAAAAAUUUAUUUAAUCUACUAGAAAUUGCUUUUAUAUAUAUAUANUCGAUAUUGAAAAGAUGGUUAAGAACGAAUAAAAAUGAAUUAGUAAUUUUACUUCAUAUGAAUGACUUGAUAAAUCAUUUUGGAGACCGGCUAUAUAAUAUGAAAUAUCAUGAUCAAAAGUUGACCUCAAAAUGCAACUAGAAGCACAAUCCACUUGAUACUCAUAACUCUCUAACCCUCUCGAUCACACAAAUUUGAUAAAGAAAAUCCCUUGAAUAAAACACCAUUCCACACCUACCAUCAAUCAUCACAUAAAUCACAUCAAUCCAUCAAAGUUGUGCGAAUAAAAAAUAAGGCGACCACACAUUUGGAGAAUCUAAAAGCUAUUCUAGCUCCACAUAUAUAUAUAUAUAUAUAGAAAGAGAGAGAGAGAGCUAGGCUGCUAUACUAUCGGUAGCACGGAAGUCUCCGUGCUAUCAAAUUGUUUUCAAUGAUGUGGCUUUCAAAUUGACGAUCGGCUCCGUCAGACUUGAUCUACACUAUUAAAAGUAUUUGAAAACUAAAUUUCAUAAUUUUUCGACAUUAUUUGGCUAGUGAUUAAAAGGUCUCAAAAUUGACAAUUUUAAUGGUAGAUGUGAUGCGUUUGUGAAUUAAAGGUGUAAAUCAAUCCAAAUCUGAUGAAAUUUUUAUAGAAAAUUCUUUUCACUACUUAGAAUAAGAUAAGUAGUUUUGAUCCUAAAUUUAAGUCUUUUAUCAUUAUUUUUUAUGAGAUUUUUUUUUUCAGCCGUUCAUUUUUAGACUACUCGUUUGAUAGGUAAAUGAUGCCAAAAUAUUAUGAAAUUUAUUUUCCAAGUACUUUCAAUAGUAUAGAUAAAAUUUAAUGGAGCCAAUCGUCGAUUUGGAAGUCGCAUCAUUGAAAACAACUUGGUACCACUGAGGCCUCCGUGCUACCAAUAGUAUACCAGUCUAGCUCUCUCUCUCUCGCUCUCUAUAUAUAUAGAGAGAAAGUUGAGCUGGAAUGCUAUCAGUAGCAAACGGGCUCCGUUGCCAUCCAUUUGUUUUCAAUGAUGGAGUGUGACGCCCCAAUAGUCCCACGUCGGAUGGGAAAGGGGUUGUCAUUGGGUUUAUACGAGACUUAGACACUAGUAAUAAUAAUUGGGCUUAAGCAAUUGGGCCAGUGGUCGGGCCCAACGAGUUAUUGUUGCUAGUGGGCUGGGUCGUUACAUUUGGUAUCAGAGUCGGUUCACCAGCUGGACAUGCGUGACGAGUCUCGGCUGAGCCAGGGUCUGGAUGACGUGCUAGCGAGACGAGUCUCACAUCGCUUAGUGAUCUUAGGCUAUGUGUGUGAUUGGACUGACGAGGAUGUCAGGGCCUUAACGGGGGGAGUCUGUGACGCCCCAAUAGUCCCACAUCGAAUGGGAAAGGGAUUGUCAUUGGGUUUAUAAGAGACUUAGACACUAGUAAUAAUAACUGAGCUUAAGCAUUUUGGGCCGGUGGUUGGGCCCAACGAGUUAUUGUUGAUAGUGGGCUGGGUCGUUACAUGGAGCCUUCAAAUCGACGAUCGACACCAUUGAACAUGAUCUAUAUCACUUGAAGUAUCUAGAAAUCAAAUUUUAAAUCUUUUCGACAUCAUUGACCUAAUUAUCAAAGGGUUUCAAAAUUUGUAAUAUUAAUGGUCGAUAUGAGGCAUUUUCUCGCUUAACGAUAUAAAGCUAUCCAAAUCAAUUGAAUUUUGAUUAGAAAAUUUUUUAAACUGUUUAGAACAAGAUUUAUACUAUGAUCUUGAUUACAAAAUUUCUAUCGUUACUUUUUAGAGGUUAUUUAUUUUCAGCCGUUCCUUUUUACGCCCACUUGAUGAACAAGAGAGCAAUAUGGAAAAAGCAUGAGAUUUGAUUUCUAGAUACUUCAAGUGGUAUAGAUUAUUUUCAACAGUACUGUCACGCCCCGGGGUCCCUUUUAGUUUGAAACACAGCGGAAAAACGUCUAAAAUUUUUUUUUUUUUAAAAACCUGACCCCAGGGUAUGCCAGAUCCGCCACAAAUACAGAAAAUCUACUGUUCAUACGGACAGAGUCUCCCCUGUAUUUGCACGGCGUCGCACAAGUACAAGAUGUCUAAACAGAGUAUAACUAGGAUACAACCACAAUAAAUGAAUAAACAAAUCUCAACAUUCAUUCACCAUUCACCAGAUUUUUAUCAUUCAGUGUUUAAAUAUAAAAACCACGAGAAAACUCUUUUGAAAGCUGUUUCCCACACGGAAACACUUUUCUUUUAAAAUACGCUACCACGAGGGGUAGAAAACUAUUUUUCAUUUCACAAAAUCCACAAAUCCAUUUAUUACAUUCAUAAAAACCCACAUUUUCAAAUGUAAUAAAACUACUGAACCAUAUAACCUAUCUAAGCUAUAUCAACAGAAUAGUAAGGAUAGAAACUAAACCGAAUAACCUGGGUCGGAAGCUCUAUCGACCGCUACGAACAUGUCUCACGUCUCGUCUCAACUCUCACCGCCUGCGAUACCUGAAAAAUGGUGGGGGAUGUGAGAACAUGUAAAUAUGUCUCCCCUCCCAGUGGGUACUGCAAGCCGAAGAAGGCGAGGAGUACUCACCGGAUCAGGAAGAGCUAAGCAACAGUACGAGUCAGUGGAAAUACAAUAGCAACGAUAAUGAACGAAAGAGAUAUAUAUUUAUAUGAAAGUACGACUACCGCUACUGUAAUGAAACAACUGAAUGUAAACAUGCAACGAAACUAUAGUAGUAAGACAAUGUAAAGCAAGAACUGAAAGCAUACUAACAACAACCACUACUAUAGCUAUAUGCGUCAACUGGACAAGAAGUCCAAAUAUACCCAAUCUGGUACCUGUUAUAUUGGUCCGCAGACCUCAAGCACUGCCUAUCACUAACCUGCACCGACCUGAUUCACCCGCCCCACAGGACGACCCAUCCGGAUAAGCACACCUCCGGCCGAUGGCCAAACCGACCCGGUGUCGUGAAUACCCCUAAGUGCUGUGACUAAGUCAUGCUGGUAUGCUCAAUACAAAAACCGACUGAAACCGGUGCCUAGGCCGAAGCCAGAAACAAGGGCGUACAACGCCGAAUCUCGAUCAACCAGAUCGAAACACAUGACGAGAGAGUCAAUGUGUUGCCUGGACCCAAGGUCCACAGAGUCUAACCGACCAACAAGGUCACUGAUACAAAGUACGAAAACCGACCAACCAGGUCAACAGAUAUGAAAUGCAACAACCGACUAACCAAGUCAACAGAUACGAAAUGCAACAACCGACUAACCAGGUCAAUAGAUACGGAAUGCAAUAACCGACCAACCAGGUCAAUAGAUACAAAAUAAAACACUACUCUACUCCUACUCAGGAUACUAAGUAUGUAAACAACGAGCAGAGUAUAAUGAAAUAACAUGGGUGCAAGGCUUAAUAUAUAUGAUGCAAUAGUAACAACAGAAGAGUAAGGGUAAUAAACCAUCACCGAGCGUGCACCACUGUACCGAUGUCGGAUCGAAGUACCCACCUGUAAGGAUGUCGCGUCUGUCUCCUGACUGCAAAAGAAUGUCAACCAGACCUAAGGAAGGUCCACCGGGUUAGUGUCUAACCCAUAACUAAUAACCACAAUAUCAUAA
rnacentral:lncRNA from 1 species